rnacentral:rRNA from 1 species
GCCCUUCACUCUGGGACAAGCCCUGGAAACGGGGUCUAAUACCGGAUAACACUCCUCAGGGCAUCUUGGGGGGUUAAAAGCUCCGGCGGUGAAGGAUGAGCCCGCGGCCUAUCAGCUUGUUGGUGGGGUGAUGGCCUACCAAGGCGACGACGGGUAGCCGGCCUGAGAGGGCGACCGGCCACACUGGGACUGAGACACGGCCCAGACUCCUACGGGAGGCAGCAGUGGGGAAUAUUGCACAAUGGGCGAAAGCCUGAUGCAGCGACGCCGCGUGAGGGAUGACGGCCUUCGGGUUGUAAACCUCUUUCAGCAGGGAAGAAGCGAAAGUGACGGUACCUGCAGAAGAAGCGCCGGCUAACUACGUGCCAGCAGCCGCGGUAAUACGUAGGGCGCAAGCGUUGUCCGGAAUUAUUGGGCGUAAAGAGCUCGUAGGCGGCUUGUCACGUCGGAUGUGAAAGCCCGGGGCUUAACCCCGGGUCUGCAUUCG